rnacentral:rRNA from 2 species
CCUGCCAGUAGUCAUAUGCUUGUCUCAAAGAUUAAGCCAUGCAUGUCUCAGUACAAGCCAAAUUAAGGUGAAACCGCGAAAGGCUCAUUAAAUCAGUUAUGGUUCCUUAGAUCGUACCCACAUUUACUUGGAUAACUGUGGUAAUUCUAGAGCUAAUACAUGCAAACAGAGCUCCAACCGGAGACGGAAGGAGUGCUUUUAUUAGAACAAAACCAAUCGGCGGCGUGUUCGCUUGCGUUCACGUUCGCCGCCCAACUUGGUGACUCUGAAUAACUUUAUGCUGAUCGCACGGUCUUGCACCGGCGACGCAUCUUUCAAAUGUCUGCCUUAUCAACUGUCGAUGGUAGGUUCUGCGCCUACCAUGGUUGUAACGGGUAACGGGGAAUCAGGGUUCGAUUCCGGAGAGGGAGCCUGAGAAACGGCUACCACAUCCAAGGAAGGCAGCAGGCGCGCAAAUUACCCACUCCCGGCACGGGGAGGUAGUGACGAAAAAUAACGAUACGGGACUCAUCCGAGGCCCCGUAAUCGGAAUGAGUACACUUUAAAUCCUUUAACGAGGAUCAAUUGGAGGGCAAGUCUGGUGCCAGCAGCC